UCCACGGCCCACUGCAGAACAGGAAACAGGAGUGGGCGCGGAAGUGCCGCUACGAGCCAGUCCGCAACCUCCCGGCAGAACAGAAGCUACGAGGGUCCACUUCUGACUUUGCUGGUUUCAGAGUUCUUCUUGUCAAAGCAAGAGAGUCAUCAGAGGCUUUGCCCACGUUACCAGCUCCAGGGACUUUGGCACCAAGUCCAGAUCCAGCUUCAGACUCUUUGGACUUGAUUCUGGAAGCUACAGAGCUGGACGAAAUAGGUAAAGCUGCCUCCCAUCCAGAGGACCCACCUGUAAGAUGAGCGACUCCUUAUCACCUUCUAG